rnacentral:rRNA from 1 species
CCUACGGGAGGCAGCAGUGGGGAAUAUUGGGCAAUGGGCGCAAGCCUGACCCAGCAACGCCGCGUGAAGGAAGAAGGCUUUCGGGUUGUAAACUUCUUUUCUCAGGGACGAAGCAAGUGACGGUACCUGAGGAAUAAGCCACGGCUAACUACGUGCCAGCACCCGCGGUAAUACGUAGGUGGCAAGCGUUAUCCGGAUUUACUGGGUGUAAAGGGCGCGUAGGCGGGAAAGCAAGUCAGAUGUGAAAACCAGGGGCUCAACCUGUGGCCUGCAUUUGAAACUGUUUUUCUUGAGUACUGGGGAGGCAGACGGAAUUCCUAGUGUAGCGGUGAAAUGCGUAGAUAUUAGGAGGAACACCAGUGGCGAAGGCGGUCUGCUGGACAGUAACUGACGCUGAGGCGCGAAAGUGUGGGGAGCAAACAGGAUUAGAUACCCUAGUAGUC